UGGGUAAUCUGCCCUCAGCUCUGGGACAACUCCGGGAAACCGGGGCUAAUACCGGAUACGACCUUCCCUCGCAUGGGGGUUGGUGGAAAGUUCUUCGGCUGAGGAUGGGCCCGCGGCCUAUCAGCUUGUUGGUGGGGUGAUGGCCUACCAAGGCGACGACGGGUAGCCGGCCUUAGAGGGCGACCGGCCACACUGGGACUGAGACACGGCCCAGACUCCUACGGGAGGCA
rnacentral:rRNA from 1 species